GACGAACGCUGGCGGCGUGCCUAACACAUGCAAGUCGAACGGGGUUAAGUCUUCGGAUUUAACUUAGUGGCGAACGGGUGAGUAACGCGUGAGGAACCUGCCUCUCAGUGGGGGACAGCAGUUGGAAACGACUGCUAAUACCGCAUAAUGUUUUCGGAUCGCAUGAUCUGAAAACCAAAGAUUUAUUGCUGAGAGAUGGCCUCGCGUCUGAUUAGCUAGUUGGUGGGGUAACGGCCCACCAAGGCGACGAUCAGUAGCCGGUCUGAGAGGAUGAACGGCCACAUUGGGACUGAGAUACGGCCCAGACUCCUACGGGAGGCAGCAGUGGGGAAUAUUGGGCAAUGGGGGAAACCCUGACCCAGCAACGCCGCGUGAAGGAAGAAGGCCUUCGGGUUGUAAACUUCUUUUACCAGGGACGAAGAACGUGACGGUACCUGGAGAAAAAGCAACGGCUAACUACGUGCCAGCCGCCGCCGUAACAC
rnacentral:rRNA from 1 species